CUCUCUUCUGCAGCUCAUGGUAGGGAGAACCCCCACAAGGAGACUGCACUUCAAAGUCCCUCCUGGAUCCCAUUCAGAUCCAAAACUGAGCACCUGCUCUGUGCCAAGAAAUGCUCUAUGGAAAUGAAUCAGUUCCCACCAUCCAGGAGGUCACAGCCUGCUCAGAUGCAAAAGAACUCCAUGCAGGCUAAGCCUUCUUCCCACCAACAUGGAUUGUGCUGAAAGAUGGCAAAUACUUGUAUGCUGACAGUUUUCUACAGCUUAAGACCCGGUUCUUGAUGGGAGAAAAAUAAACAUCAUCAGCUGCUUCCUUCCUAAUAACCAUACUAUUUUAAGGGAACUUGAGAUUUUGUUUAUAAACUACACUGAUGGUUAUGUAACCAAUGAGAUCUAUAUUUCUGGCACAUUUCCUUUCAUACAGACUCAAUUAAA
rnacentral:lncRNA from 10 species